AGAGCCUAUUGGGUUCACAAGCAGGCAGGUUAUCCAUGCUUCUCAUGCUAUUUCAGAGGGAAAAUAUAAUACACACAGAGUCAAGACUUAGGCAGAAGGAGGCCAGCAUUCUGUCAUGUUGGGAAAUGGGAAGAAAGAAAUGUUGAUGGUUUACCAGUGUUUAUCAACCUACAUGGUCUGUUGGAAAGACAUCACCCCAACCCUCCACCACCAGUAAGCAGGAGCAGAGAAUGAAGAGGAUGAAGAAGCUCAAAGGGAUCUCCAGAAGAUCAAAAAUGAGAGAGAUUAAUUCCAGGGAACCCUGGCCAAUUACACUAACAAGGAUUUGAACAACAGGGUGGAACUCUGUGAUAUGGAACUUGUCCAAGUGAAAAACAACAUUCCCUUUGGUGGGAUCUGAUGCAAGCCUGUAUUGCUGUACUGUGGUGUUAAGGGCUUGAAGGUGUGCAAAAUGGUAAAAGAAAGAAGAACCCACAACGUAGCAAAGAAUAGCUACAGAUGAAAGGGAAAGCAUGGAGAAUGGUGGGAGAAAGAGGAACCUGCCAAGAAUCAAAAUCCAGCUAUGUAAUCUAAAUCAUCACCAGAAGAGCUCCUGUGAACUCACAGAGGCCUGCACAGCAGGGUACUUCCCAGGUAUAUGAAUGGGAAAAAUGUCAGAGGUCCUAUAGCCUCCCUGAAAGCCCAGAUCUUCUUGGAUGGAUGAGCCUUACCUGCCCCAAAUGGAAAUGGAGAUUUUGUCCAUAUCACUUGAACAUUGCUGCAUGGCCAAGACAGGAAGGUCAGACUUGGCAUCAUUUUGAGUAAGGAAUGAAGAUAUGAUUUCCAUGGAAAUAGUAAUUUCAGCCAUGGAGGUAAGAGAUGGCCUGAAGAAAACAGAGUCACACCAGACACAAGUCCAGAAGGUUUCCGGUUGCACUGAUUGUAAUCUAUUUGUGUGGACACUGUGCAGGGUAUCCAUGGGCAAUAUCAGUAAUGUCUAGUUAAUGUCAACAUGUUACAUAUUUGUAUAGGACUUCUCUGGGGCAAACAUGUUUACCACAUGUGAGAUUGCUAUUUGAGAAGAUACUAAUAAUGAAAAUAAGUUCUAACAUUUUGUAACACAAAUUACCCGUGGGCAGUCACUUAAAAUAUUGUACCUGG